CUCUACUAUUAUCUAGUAUUACUAUAUUUUUCCAUUAACAUAAAAAAGCAUAUUCUUUCUCAUUUUUAUUGAAUAAAUAAAAGUAAUAAAUAAGCAAAAUUUUCAUUUUUAUCUAUUUUCAAUUGAAUUUAAAUUGUAAAAAAAAAACUUCAUAAAAGAUUAGGAAAAGUAAAAGUAUAUGAUAUAGAAACCUAUAAUAUAAAUGAAUACAAAUAAAAACAAACAAAUCGAACCAAACUAUAAAAAGUACUUGUUAUUUUUAAAGUUUAAAGAAACUAUGUAAGGCAAAUAGUACUAAAUAAAAAAAAGGAGCAAUAACGCCCUCUUGUUUUAUCAAGAGGGAAGCUAUUGCUCCUUUUUUAGUUCAAAAACUCCUAUACAAUCAGACCAAAGUC
rnacentral:misc_RNA from 3 species